UACGUAGGUGGCAAGCGUUGUCCGGAUUUACUGGGCGUAAAGGGCGUGCAGGCGGUUUGUUAAGUGCAGGGUGAAAGCUCCCGGCUCAACUGGGAGAGGUCCUUGCAUACUGGCGAGCUCGAGGGAGGCAGAGGAAAGUGGAAUUCCCGGUGUAGUGGUGAUAUGCGUAGAUAUCGGGAGGAACACCUGUGGCGAAGGCGGCUUUCUGGGCCUUACCUGACGCUGAGACGCGAAAGCGUGGGGAGCGAACCGG
rnacentral:rRNA from 1 species